GCCGCGGUUAUUUCAGUUUUCCAGUAGGUUUCAGAACAAGAUCCACUGUGGCCGUCUUCACAGUGCUGCCGUAUAAAAGUGUGAACCUGAUCGAUCAUUUGCGAAUCUCUACCGGAAAUGGAUGUAAGACACGACGAUUUAAAGGGACAAAACGAAAACGCAACCAAAAAAAUGUGUUAGAAGUGUACUAUCCUGAGUGCUGUGAGUGUGUGAUAAUCCUGGCGUAUUUAAGUGAAAUCAGUGGUUAACGGAUCAUUAUCAAACAUGACGGAAUAUUUCGGAGACUGGAGUGGCAACAACAACGGUGAUGCUGACGAGAUCGUGGAGUCGGAAACUGUGGAAACAGUUACCAGAACAACCACAACCACGAGGACGAGGAAAAAAUCGGUGGCUCCAGAUAAGUCGUCCACGACGAAGACGACGACAAUGACGACACCGGCCAAGUUGUAUGGACGAGAGUUGUCGGCUUACGACGAAGUUGACGUCGACGAGCUGUUGGCCAAGUUGUCACAGGAGGAGCUAACUAUGCUCGCGAAGGAAGUGGACCCAGAUGACGACUGUCUCCCUCCCUCACUAAGGAAUAACUACGCGUGUGAAAAGGGCCCCACAGGUCCUUUGAACCGCAAGAAACUCAUAGAACACAUCAACAAACAGGCAUUAGAAACACCAGAUCGGCCGGAGGUCAAACCUUAUGUAGCAGGAGUAAUACGGGGGAAAAAGUGGAUUCCACCGCCCGUGCCUGACAAAGUUCGAGACGCGGAAGAACAGAUCACCAUUGACCUCGGCGACGAAUAUGAAUCGGCCCUCACAACCGCUACACAGGAAGAGAUCAUUGAUCUUGCUGCAAUUCUCGGCUUCCAUUCGAUGAUGAACCAGGACCAGUACCACGCGUCGCUGCUCAACAAAGGACAACCCCUGGGCUUGGGCUGGGACGGCAUCACCAAGGCUACCAAACCUAAGAUUUACCCCAUGGACCCCCCCAACGACGCGGACCCCGAACAAAGCAUCAGCAGGGUGCGAGACAACGACCAGACCUUCCUUGAUCUCAAUUGGAAUAACAUUAAGAACAUAAGCGAUGAGAAAUUCGAGAAGCUUUUCGAAGCUUUGAAAACAAACACUCACCUGGAAGUGCUAUCGCUCGUCAACGUUGGCCUCAACGACCGCACCGCCCAACUGUUGGCCGACGCGUUGGAAGCCAACCGCUCCCUGCGCGUCGUCAACGUCGAGACCAACUUCAUCAGCCCUUCUGGAGUGGUCCAACUUGUUAAGUCUCUACUCACCACCAACACUGUUGAGGAGUUCCGCGCUUCUAACCAGCGGUCGCAAGUGCUGGGCAACAAAACUGAGAUGGAAAUCACACGAUUGGUCGAACAGAACCCCACACUGCUUCGGCUCGGCCUCCACCUCGAGUACAGCGACGCUCGCCAUCGCGUCGCGUCGCACCUGCAACGCAACAUCGACAGAAAUUGCCGUUUGCAAAAGCGGGCUACCACGUCCCUAAGCUUGCGGCUGCCCCGCGGCCGGCCGCCCGCCGUGGGCGUCGACAGUAGCUUCUUUAACCUCACACCGCCAAGCGCUGAGACCACCACGCCCACGAGUGAGAGAAGAAUAACCGAUAAACCGUUACCGGUAACCGAUAAUGAAUCGGUAUUGGAUGUACCGAAUGGCACGGACAGUUUCGUGAGAGCGGCGCCGCCCGACAUACACCCAAAGCCGCACGCUACGGAAAGACCUAACGCUGCGACUUCAGUUCCGAUUCUUUAACAACCUGCAAAAGGGGGCCCGUAGUCAGUAAUUACCAUAAAGUACGCCAGCAACGCCGGAGCCAGAGCGGCGCUUAGACCCCUAAACGACACACGCGGUGGGCGAAUCCGGCGCUUGAGCCAGUGCACGCGCAGCCCCAGCUACGUGGCGGGAUGGAUCCCCUGACUGCCUCCACACCACAUGCUAUGCCGUCAUCCUCUUUGUUACUGUGUAGCCUUUACAUCUCCCGCACACCACAAACUUUUCAUCGGCUGAUAGUGCAGUUGGGCCUUUAGACAAAAACAGGAGCUGGAUUAGGAGUAUUUUCGUUGCGUCUUGUGUAGCAGCGUGGUGCAAAAAUAAAAGGACUGCUCACAUAGUUUCAUUGUAUAUUUACAAUAUAUAUUACAUGGGCCGUAUUUACAACAUGUGCCGUAUUUACAUUUGAAACUAUGGAAAACGAGGGCCAGAGCUUGAUGCUCGUCCGAGGUGUUUCAGUCUUGAUAUCUCUGGAGUGAAUGUGGCCCCCGGAGUUCGCCCAGGCGAGCAGGAUUUUCGAAUUGUUCCGAAUUCAAAUGGCGUUCUAAGUGGCAGUUGCAAAGUGCAAUGUUUUCUUCGCAGCUGCCAGCAUUAGAAGAGUACGCUCGUAGAAGCGCCAACGGGACUCGGGCCUUCAGCUAACUUUAUACAAGCGUAAAUGGCAUAAAAGCUUUUAUAAGACUUUGACUCAUUUAUCUCGGGAUUAUUUUCGGUGCGUUAUUGUACGCUCCUAAAAGCGCCAUGGGGAUUCAAGCCUUAAACAUUCUCGUACAAGCAUAAACGCGCAUAAAACUUAUAGAACUUUUGACUCGUUGACCUCGGGGAGUAUUUUUUCGCUCCUACAAGCGCCUUGGUUCUCGAUCCUUCGCUUAACGGUUUCCGCGAACAUGCGCGUGUUCGCAUGUUCAUGAAACGCGCACGUAAGUACAUCAUACGAACUUAUACGCAUCAAAAAUACGCCUAAUCCUGAGCGUACUUUGUGACUUUACUCGGACUUUACUAAGAGCUAAAAUGAGACAAGAGUUAUGUCUCUGACAUCUGUCUCGUUUAAAUUUUAAGCAAGGUAGUUAUGUCUUUGUAAGCCCGUCUCGUUUAAACUAUGUACAAAGUGCGGGCAAUCAUUGUCGAAUUAUACUCCAUAAAUCUUACUGUACCUAAGCGUAAGUUUUCAAGUUAAUAAAACGUGGGACGGGAGUUGCGUUAACCCGUUGUGGGAUUAUCAGUUAUGGCCUUCAAUACGAAAUGAUGUACUUGUCACCUUAGUUGACUUGAAAAGUUACAUGAGGCCUCUGCUGUUAUCUGUCAAAGACUAAAACUGUCAAAAACUAUCGACUGGCCAAAAAUUUGUGGUCUGUGGGGUGUAUAUUACAUUAGUCUGUUCUAUUUUAUCUGAUAUGAUUUUUUUGUGAAUUAAAUGGAUUUAGAUGCCUCAACAAAAUACUCGUAAAUACUUAUCACCAAUUAGAGUGUUGCACAAUAGCUCUUUAAAUCUAUCGAUAUUUGAACAACAGUUGAAUAAAUCGUGUCUUGCUUGCCAGCGUGCCCUUAGACUUUAUAUUUGUCAUUUUUAUUAGCAAUUGAGCUUAAAUAUAUUUAUAAAUGUAUUAAUUUUUUCGUAGAUGAAUUUAUUUUAUGACGCGACAAAUUAUAAAAUUGCUAAUAAUGAGCUUAAUGUAAAAUGUAUAUUAUUGCAUUAUCUUAAGAUGACGUCAACGGUGCUGUAAGCGUUGCUCUAUAGUCGAUGCUGAAAUGAAUUAAUAUUUACGACACAUGUAUGAUAAUUUACAUAAUUAAUCAAAAAUUAUGACUAAUACUAUCUAAUUACUUUAUUACUUAAGUUUAUUGACUACACAUUUACAAAGAUACGGUAUUGACGAAAAAAAUGUAUGCUCGAUGAAAGAAUAUUGUGCGCUGACAAGAAUUAUGAUUUUAUUUUGUAACCAGAGAUCAUGGAAUAUCGAUAACGCAACUAGAUGGCAGGCCCAUCACUAGUUGUAAAUGAAAGGUUUAACCCGUCAGAAAUAUCUGUGCAUCGAUGACGUCACGGUGGGAAUACUGUAAGAAGAGUGACAAAAAUGAAAAUUCCAAAUACAUAUACAAUUCAAAUUUUUAAUUAAAUUAAUUUGACACAAAAGAGGCCAAAAUGGUGAUUUCUAUUUUUGUUUCUAUUUUACCUUCACAGACAUACACCAGCCAUCCUCUAGAAAAUUUAAAAGCUAAGUAAAUAAUUAAAACCAUUUAUUUACAAUAUAAGCAAGAUAGAAAACGUCAUCAAAAAACGUCCUAAGGGCGUUUUGACAGAUUAUGUGUUUCCAUAAAAUAAAUUAAAAUUGACUGCUCGUUCGAAUUUAGACCUUAUUUUGACAAAUAAAGUGCGAUUGUAACUGACAAAACCUGUAAGUGAUCUUUAAUCGCAUGAAUACUUGUUUCGAACACUGGCGUAAAAUACUUGAGUUAGUUAUAAUAAUGGCGUGAGAUGGACAGAUAUUCAUGACGAGUUAUUAGUACAUUACGAUACGUGUGACUUAAUUAACCAAUUAAUGCACGGCGUGACUUAGUCAUGCAUUAGUCGAUUAUAUCGCUACGCUCGGACGCUAAACGCCGUGCAUUCAUACUAAGGCUAAGUUACGAGUAUCGUAUACUAUUUUGCUAUAGCUAGUGUGACCUAAACUUUCACCGCACGGAUUAAUGCACGUUUAGGUCACGCAAUGCUAUGUCAGUUUUAGUACACGGCGGUAAAAUCAUAAAUCGUGUUACAAAUUGAUUGUUUCGUAAGUUCAUAAUAUAAUAUUAAUUCUAAUUCUAGUGUGCUAAUGAAAUCGUAUUAAUUUUAAUCAUUAAUUAAUUAAAUAAAUUGUAAUAUAUGUUUAGACUGCACAUUCCAUUAAUGCAUAACAGGCUUCUCUAUUUAAUUUUUUUUUAACUAAUUUUAUAAUCUUAAGUCCAUUUAAGUUUUAACAUAAUAAUACAUAAUACUUAUAAUAUGUAUCUGAGCUAUCAAAAGAUAUCUAACAUUACUUUGUCCUAUUUUUUUUUUAAAUAAAUCAGACCAAGUUCUGUUUAUUUAAUUUUUUGUUAUUUGCAACGAGCCUACAAAAUUUUGUAUAUUUGGACAACAAAAUUAACCAGAAAAUAAUAUUCUUUAUUGGGAGCACAUUCUUUAUAACAGGGUCAUCUAUUUCACAGAAAUAUAGGGAAUCGAAUCCAAUGUUCAGAGUAUUUGUAUCGAUAAAUGAAUCGAUUUUAUGUAUGAUGCGAUUCGAGCGACAUUAUGGCUGAAAUUAUAGAGUGUACUUUGACUUUGGUCAGACAUAAGAGAGUUAAAGAAGAAAGAGUUUGUAAGGGGUAUUAAUGUCUCAUUGCCUUAAGUCUGAGCAGAGUCAAAUUAUAGUCUAAUCUAUCAAAAUAGAAUAUAUAGUGUGAUGGACAAAGUAUAUAAAAAUGUCAUUACUCAAAAUACUGCCAAUUGAUUAACAGUAUUGAAGAGAAGUCAUGUUUUGUAUCAAUGGAUUUUAAUUUUUUAACAUUUUCAAUAAAGCACUAGGUUUUCGCCGUGCGCUAGAAUUUCUCUGAAAGCUUUUAUACGCUGCGAUUUGAUGACUAAAGAUUAUAUUAGUGGUGUGAUAAAACUUACGUCAUUUUUUUUUAAUCCACGUGAACUGUUAAGUCAUAUCUGCGUGAGUUGUAAAAAUCGUUUACGUUCACGCGAGAGUGAAAUAUUUUUACGUUUACAUGGGAUAAUUUACGUCCACGUGAAAUGUGACAAUAUUUUUACGUUUACCUAUGUGAGAUGUUGAGAUACGUCUGUGCGAUUUGUAAAAUAUUUUCACAUCCGCGAGUACUAUGAAAUAUGUUUACGCGAGUUGUCCACGUGAGCUGUGAAAAAUUUUUUGCGUCCACAUGAACUGUGAAGUAUUUCUACAUAUUUCACGUUUACGUGAGCUGUGAAAUAUUUUAAUAUCUACGUGAGUCAUGACAUAUUUUGCGGGUGCAACCUGCGUACUGUGAAAUAUAUUUACGUUUACGCAAUACGCAAAUUAUGAACUUCUUUUGUGUCCACGUGAGUUGUAAAGAAAACGAGUAAUUUUAUCGAUAUCAUGUCUAAAAGUUUUCUAGCUUACAGUAACCUUUUGCUUUCUUGAAAUUAAUAUUUGCUUACCUUUUAAAUUGUAACUUUAUGUAUAUUUGAUAGUGAAUCUACUGGGGAAUGGCAGACUAGUGUCCGUAACAUUGUGAUAAACAUCAUGUUUUUCCAUUAAAAAAAAAUAAUUAAAUAUUGCUUUGUUUUUUUUUCAUUAUAGUUUCAUUUAAGAGAGAUUAUUUGUAUAUGAUUUAUUUUAGAUUCUUAAUGUAUUUUUUUUCAUUGUUUUACCGAGUAAUGAAAUUUAAAAUUCUUAUGAAUUGUAAUUUUUUAAGUAAUAAUAUGAUGUAAUAGAUUUUAUUUAUGUGAAUAUAAUUAAAUUAUGUAUGGAGCAUUUUGGUCCAACGAAAACCUUGACUAGUAGAGUCGCAGUUAUGUAGUUUGUGACAAAAAAAUCAAUAAAGCACUUUCAAAUUUUUAAA